rnacentral:rRNA from 1 species
GGCGAACGGGUGAGUAAUAUAUCGGAACGUGCCCAUUAGUGGGGGAUAGCCCGGCGAAAGCCGGAUUAAUACCGCAUACGACCUGAGGGUGAAAGCGGGGAUCGCAAGACCUCGCGCUAUUGGAGCGGCCGAUAUCAGAUUAGCUAGUUGGUGGGGUAAAGGCCUACCAAGGCAACGAUCUGUAGUUGGUCUGAGAGGACGACCAGCCACACUGGGACUGAGACACGGCCCAG